rnacentral:rRNA from 1 species
GUCCACGCCGUAAACGAUGAGUGCUAGAUGCUGCGGGUAUUGACCCCUGCGGUGUCGUAGCUAACGCGUUAAGCACUCCGCCUGGGGAGUACGGCCGCAAGGCUAAAACUCAAAGGAAUUGACGGGGGCCCGCACAAGCGGUGGAGCAUGUGGUUCAAUUCGACGCAACGCGCAGAACCUUACCUGGGUUAAAUCCACUCAAACCUGGCAGAGAUGCUGGGGUGUCCUUCGGGAAUGAGUGAGACGGUGCUGCAUGGCUGUCGU